UGGGGAAUAUUGCACAAUGGGGGAAACCCUGAUGCAGCAACGCCGCGUGAGUGAAGAAGUAUUUCGGUAUGUAAAGCUCUAUCAGCAGGGAAGAAAACGACGGUACCUGAGUAAGAAGCCCCGGCUAACUACGUGCCAGCAGCCGCGGUAAUACGUAGGGGGCAAGCGUUAUCCGGAUUUACUGGGUGUAAAGGGAGCGUAGACGGCGAGGCAAGUCUGAUGUGAAAGCCUGGGGCUUAACCCCGGAACUGCAUUGGAAACUGCUUUGCUGGAGUGCCGGAGAGGUAAGCGGAAUUCCUAGUGUAGCGGUGAAAUGCGUAGAUAUUAGGAGGAACACCAGUGGCGAAGGCGGCUUACUGGACGGUAACUGACGUUGAGGCUCGAAAGCGUGGGGAGCAAACAGGAUUAGAUACCCUGGUAGUCCACGCGGUAAACGAUGAAUGCUAGGUGUUGGGGAGCAGAGCUCUUCGGUGCCGCCGCAAACGCAUUAAGCAUUCCACCUGGGGAGUACGUUCGCAAGAAUGAAACUCAAAGGAAUUGACGGGGACCCGCACAAACGGUGGAGCAUGUGGUUUAAUUCGAAGCAACGCGAAGAACCUUACCAAGUCUUGACAUCGAUCUGACAGGGCCGUAAUGGGCCUGUUCCUUCGGGACAGAGAAGACAGGUGGUGCAUGGUUGUCGUCAGCUCGUGUCGUGAGAUGUUGGGUUAAGUCCCGCAACGAGCGCAACCCUUAUCUUCAGUAGCCAGCGGUCCGGCCGGGCACUCUGGAGAGACUGCCAGGGACAACCUGGAGGAAGGUGGGGAUGACGUCAAAUCAUCAUGCCCCUUAUGACUUGGGCUACACACGUGCUACAAUGGCGUAAACAAAGGGAAGCAGCCCUGUGAAGGUGAGCAAAUCCCAAAAAUAACGUCUCAGUUCGGAUUGUAGUCUGCAACUCGACUACAUGAAGCUGGAAUCGCUAGUAAUCGCGAAUCAGCAUGUCGCGGUGAAUACGUUCCC
rnacentral:rRNA from 1 species